rnacentral:rRNA from 1 species
AGAGUUUGAUCCUGGCUCAGGAUGAACGCUGGCGGCGUGCUUAACACAUGCAAGUCGAACGAACCUUCGGGUUAGUGGCGGACGGGUGAGUAACGCGUGGGAAUCUGCCCUCAGGAGGGGGAUAACGGCCGGAAACGGCCGCUAAUACCCCAUAUGCCGAGAGGUGAAAUGAAUUUCGCCUGAGGAUGAGCCCGCGUCUGAUUAGCUAGUUGGUGAGGUAAGAGCUCACCAAGGCAUCGAUCAGUAGCUGGUCUGAGAGGAUGAUCAGCCACACUGGGACUGAGACACGGGAGGCAGCAGUGGGGAAUUUUCCGCAAUGGGCGAAAGCCUGACGGAGCAACGCCGCGUGAGGGAUGAAGGCCUCUGGGCUGUAAACCUCUUUUAUCAAGGAAGAAGAUCUGACGGUACUUGAUGAAUAAGCCACGGCUAAUUCCGUGCCAGCAGCCGCGGUAAUACGGGAGUGGCAAGCGUUAUCCGGAAUUAUUGGGCGUAAAGCGUCCGCAGGCGGCCCUUCAAGUCUGCUGUUAAAAAGUGGAGCUUAACUCCAUCAUGGCAGUGGAAACUGAUGGGCUUGAGUGUGGUAGGGGCAGAGGGAAUUCCCGGUGUAGCGGUGAAAUGCGUAGAUAUCGGGAAGAACACCAGUGGCGAAGGCGCUCUGCUGGGCCAUCACUGACGCUCAUGGACGAAAGCCAGGGGAGCGAAAGGGAUUAGAUACCCCUGUAGUCCUGGCCGUAAACGAUGAACACUAGGUGUCGGGGGAAUCGACCCCUCCGGUGUCGUAGCCAACGCGUUAAGUGUUCCGCCUGGGGAGUACGCACGCAAGUGUGAAACUCAAAGGAAUUGACGGGGGCCCGCACAAGCGGUGGAGUAUGU